UCUUAAAUACUUAAGGACUCACUUGACAGUUGCCAUGGUUCUGAUCCUGGGCUUGCAUUGAUAUCAUCUUGUACCGUUCUAGGUACAACUCAUAUCAAUGUUUUUCAUACAAUAUGAAAUACAUAAAUCACCUUUCUGCGUAUGCAUAAAGGAUUCAAUUUACGCAUUAUUUCUUUGGGAGUCAAAGGGUACGUUCCCUUUGAGAAGGGCAACUUGCUAGUUUCACUAGAAUCGUCCUUCUUAUUGAAGUUUAUCAUCAUAUGAGA
rnacentral:lncRNA from 1 species